ensembl:lncRNA
GGGUGAGAGGUAUAGUAUCUCUGAUAUACAGGGGGUGAGAGGUAUAGUAUCUCUGAUAUACAGGGGUGAGAGGUAUACUAUCUCUGAUAUACAGGUGGUGAGAGGUAUAGUAUCUCUGAUAUACAGGGGGUGAGAGGUAUACUAUCUCUGAUAUACAGGGGGUGAGAGGUAUAGUAUCUCUGAUAUAGAGGGGGUGAGAGGUAUAGUAUCUCUGAUAUAUAUGGUGAGAGGUAUAGUAUCUCUGAGAAACAGGGGGUGUGAGUUAUAGUAUCUCUGAUCUAUAUGGUGAGAGGUAUCGUAUCUCUGAUAUACAGGGGGUGAGAGGUAUAGUAUCUCUGAUAUACAGGGGGUGAGAGGUAUAGUAUCUCUGAUCUAUAUGGUGAGAGGUAUAGUAUCUCUGAUAUACAGGGGGUGAGAGGUAUAGUAUCUCUGAUAUACAGGGGGUGAGAGGUAUACUAUCUUUGAUAUACAGGGGGUGAGAGGUAUAGUAUCUCUGAUAUAUAUGGUGAGAGGUAUAGUAUCUCUGAUAUACAGGGG